UUGCACAAUGGGCGCAAGCCUGAUCCAGCCAUGCCGCGUGUGUGAAGAAGGCCUUCGGGUUGUAAAGCACUUUCAGCGGGGAGGAAGGCGUUUAGNUUAAUACCCGNANGUUUUGACGUUACCCNCAGAAUAAGCACCGGCUAACUUCGUGCCAGCAGCCGCGGUAAUACGAAGGGUGCAAGCGUUAAUCGGAAUUACUGGGCGUAAAGCGCGCGNAGGCGGUUUGUUAAGUCNGAUGUGAAAUCCCCGGGCUCAACCUGGGAACUGCAUUCGAAACUGGCANGCUAGAGUCUNGUAGAGGGGGGUGGAAUUCCCNGGUGUAGCGGUGAAAUGCGUAGAGAUCUGGAGGAACACCGGUGGCGAAGGCGGCCCCCUGGACNAAGACUGACGCUCAGGUGCGAAAGCGUGGGGAGCAAACAGGA
rnacentral:rRNA from 1 species